CAAUAGCGUAUAUUAAAGUUGUUGCGGUUAAAAAGCUCGUAGUUGGAUUUCUGCCGAGGACGACCGGUCCGCCCUCUGGGUGAGUAUCUGGUUCGGCCUGGGCAUCUUCUUGGAGAACGUAUCUGCACUUGACUGUGUGGUGCGGUAUCCAGGACUUUUACUUUGAGGAAAUUAGAGUGUUUAAAGCAGGCUUAAGCCGUUGAAUACAUUAGCAUGGAAUAAUAAGAUAAGACUUGGGUCAUUAUUUUGUUGGUUUGCGGAUCGAGGUAAUGAUUAAUAGGGAUAGUUGGGGGUAUUCAUAUUUAAUUGUCAGAGGUGAAAUUCUUGGAUUUAUGAAAGAUGAACUUAGGCGAAAGCAUUUACCAAGGAUGUUUUCAUUAAUCAAGAACGAAAGUUAGGGGAUCGAAGACGAUCAGAUACCGU
rnacentral:rRNA from 1 species